rnacentral:rRNA from 1 species
UACGUAGGGUGCGAGCGUUGUCCGGAAUUACUGGGCGUAAAGAGCUCGUAGGUGGUUUGUCGCGUUGUUCGUGAAAACUCACAGCUUAACUGUGGGCGUGCGGGCGAUACGGGCAGACUGGAGUACUGCAGGGGAGACUGGAAUUCCUGGUGUAGCGGUGAAAUGCGCAGAUAUCAGGAAGAACACCCGUGGCGAAAGCGGCUCUCUGGAACGGUACUGACGCUGAGACGCGAAAGCGUGGGGAGCGAACAGG